rnacentral:rRNA from 1 species
GGGUUGUGAGGUUAAGUGACUAAGCGUACACGGUGGAUGCCUAGGCAGUCAGAGGCGAUGAAGGGCGUGCUAAUCUGCGAAAAGCGUCGGUAAGGUGAUAUGAACCGUUAUAACCGGCGAUACCCGAAUGGGGAAACCCAGUGUGUUUCGACACACUAUCAUGUCAUGAAUACAUAGUGGCAUGAGGCGAACCGGGGGAACUGAAACAUCUAAGUACCCCGAGGAAAAGAAAUCAACCGAGAUUCCCCCAGUAGCGGCGAGCGAACGGGGAGGAGCCCAGAACCUGAAUCGGCUUGUGUGUUAGUGGAAGCGUCUGGAAAGUCGCGCAGCAAAGGGUGAUAGCCCCGUACACUAAAAUGCACAGGUCGUGAGUUCGAUGAGUAGGGCGGGACACGUGACAUCCUGUCUGAAUAUGGGGGGACCAUCCUCCAAGGCUAAAUACUCCUGACUGACCGAUAGUGAACCAGUACCGUGAGGGAAAGGCGAAAAGAACCCCGGCGAGGGGAGUGAAAUAGAACCUGAAACCGUGUACGUACAAGCAGUGGGAGCACCUUCGUGGUGUGACUGCGUACCUUUUGUAUAAUGGGUCAGCGACUUAUAUUUUGUAGCAAGGUUAACCGUAUAGGGGAGCCGUAGGGAAACCGAGUCUUAACUGGGCGAAUAGUUGCAAGGUAUAGACCCGAAACCCGGUGAUCUAGCCAUGGGCAGGUUGAAGGUUGGGUAACACUAACUGGAGGACCGAACCGACUAAUGUUGAAAAAUUAGCGGAUGACUUGUGGCUGGGGGUGAAAGGCCAAUCAAACCGGGAGAUAGCUGGUUCUCCCCGAAAGCUAUUUAGGUAGCGCCUCGUGAACUCAUCUUCGGGGGUAGAGCACUGUUUCGGCUAGGGGGCCAUCCCGGCUUACCAAACCGAUGCAAACUCCGAAUACCGAAGAAUGUUAUCACGGGAGACACACGGCGGGUGCUAACGUCCGUCGUGAAGAGGGAAACAACCCAGACCGCCAGCUAAGGUCCCAAAGUCAUGGUUAAGUGGGAAACGAUGUGGGAAGGCAUAGACAGCCAGGAUGUUGGCUUAGAAGCAGCCAUCAUUUAAAGAAAGCGUAAUAGCUCACUGGUCGAGUCGGCCUGCGCGGAAGAUGUAACGGGGCUAAACCAUGCACCGAAGCUGCGGCAGCGACGCUUAGGCGUUGUUGGGUAGGGGAGCGUUCUGUAAGCCGUUGAAGGUGGCCUGUGAGGGUUGCUGGAGGUAUCAGAAGUGCGAAUGCUGACAUAAGUAACGAUAAAGCGGGUGAAAAGCCCGCUCGCCGGAAGACCAAGGGUUCCUGUCCAACGUUAAUCGGGGCAGGGUGAGUCGACCCCUAAGGCGAGGCUGAAAAGCGUAGUCGAUGGGAAACAGGUUAAUAUUCCUGUACUUGGUGUUACUGCGAAGGGGGGACGGAGAAGGCUAGGCUAGCCGGGCGACGGUUGUCCCGGUUUAAGCGUGUAGGGGGUGUGACCUGGUAAAUCCGGUUACAUACUAACCCUGAGGCGUGAUGACGAUGCACUACGGUGCAGAAGUAGUUGAUGCCCUGCUUCCAGGAAAAGCCUCUAAGCUCUAGGUAACAUUGAAUCGUACCCCAAACCGACACAGGUGGUCAGGUAGAGAAUACCAAGGCGCUUGAGAGAACUCGGGUGAAGGAACUAGGCAAAAUGGUGCCGUAACUUCGGGAGAAGGCACGCUGGCAUGUAGGUGAAGUCCCUUGCGGAUGGAGCUGAAGCCAGUCGAAGAUACCAGCUGGCUGCAACUGUUUAAUAAAAACACAGCACUGUGCAAACACGAAAGUGGACGUAUACGGUGUGACGCCUGCCCGGUGCUGGAAGGUUAAUUGAUGGGGUCAGCCGCAAGGCGAAGCUCUUGAUCGAAGCCCCAGUAAACGGCGGCCGUAACUAUAACGGUCCUAAGGUAGCGAAAUUCCUUGUCGGGUAAGUUCCGACCUGCACGAAUGGCGUAAUGAUGGCCAGGCUGUCUCCACCCGAGACUCAGUGAAAUUGAACUCGCUGUGAAGAUGCAGUGUACCCGCGGCAAGACGGAAAGACCCCGUGAACCUUUACUAUAGCUUGACACUGAACAUUGAGCCUUGAUGUGUAGGAUAGGUGGGAGGCUUUGAAGCGUGGACGCCAGUCUGCGUGGAGCCAUCCUUGAAAUACCACCCUUUAAUGUUUGAUGUUCUAACUCGGCCCCAUAAUCUGGGGUGAGGACAGUGUCUGGUGGGUAGUUUGACUGGGGCGGUCUCCUCCCAAAGAGUAACGGAGGAGCACGAAGGUUAGCUAAUCACGGUCGGACAUCGUGAGGUUAGUGCAAAGGCAUAAGCUAGCUUGACUGCGAGAGUGACGGCUCGAGCAGGUACGAAAGUAGGUCUUAGUGAUCCGGUGGUUCUGAAUGGAAGGGCCAUCGCUCAACGGAUAAAAGGUACUCCGGGGAUAACAGGCUGAUACCGCCCAAGAGUUCAUAUCGACGGCGGUGUUUGGCACCUCGAUGUCGGCUCAUCACAUCCUGGGGCUGAAGUAGGUCCCAAGGGUAUGGCUGUUCGCCAUUUAAAGUGGUACGCGAGCUGGGUUUAGAACGUCGUGAGACAGUUCGGUCCCUAUCUGCCGUGGGCGUUGGAAGAUUGAGAGGGGUUGCUCCUAGUACGAGAGGACCGGAGUGAACGCACCACUGGUGUUCGGGUUGUCAUGCCAAUGGCAUUGCCCGGUAGCUAAGUGCGGAAAAGAUAAGCGCUGAAAGCAUCUAAGCGCGAAACUUGCCUCAAGAUGAGUCUUCCCUGGGCCUUUAAGGCCCCUGAAGGAACGUUUAAGACUAAGACGUUGAUAGGCUGGGUGUGUAAGUGCAGCGAUGCAUUGAGCUAACCAGUACUAAUGAUCCGUGAGGCUUAACCUUACAACACCGAAGGUGUUUUAG